rnacentral:rRNA from 1 species
UACGAAGGGGGCGAGCGUUGUUCGGAAUCACUGGGCGUAAAGGGCGCGUAGGCGGCCCUCCUUGUCGCGUGUGAAAGCCCCGGGCUCAACCUGGGAACGGCGCGCGAGACGGGGGGGCUGGAGUUCGGGAGAGGAGCGUGGAAUUCCCAGUGUAGAGGUGAAAUUCGUAGAUAUUGGGAAGAACACCAGUGGCGAAGGCGGCUCACUGGCCCGGUACUGACGCUGAGGUGCGAAAGCGUGGGGAGCAAACAGG